rnacentral:rRNA from 1 species
UACGGAGGGGGGCUAGCGUUGUUCGGAAUUACUGGGCGUAAAAGCGCACGUAGGCGGCUUUUGUAAAGUUUAGAGGUGAAAAGCCCAGGGCUCAACCUUGGAAUUGCCUUUAAGACUGCAUCGCUUGAACAUCGGAGAGGUAAGUGGAAUUCCGAGUGUAGAGGUGAAAUUCGUAGAUAUUCGGAAGAACACCAGUGGCGAAGGCGACUUACUGGACGAUUUGUUGACGCUGAGGUGCGAAAGCGUGGGGAGCAAACAGG